CCUACGUGUGACAGCAGUGGAGAAUAUUUCACAAUGGGGGAAACCCUGAUGCAGCGACGCCGCGUGGGUGAAGGAAUAAUUCUUUAUUUAAAGCUCUAUCAGCAGGGAAGAAAAUGACGGUACCUGAGUAAGAAGACCCGGCUAACGACGUGCCAGCAGCCGCGGUAAUGCGUAGGGGGCAAGCGUUAUCCGGAUUUACUGGGUGUAAAGGGAGCGUAGACGGCAGUGCAAGUCUGGAGGGAAAGGCGGGGGCGCAACCCCCGGACUGCGCUGGAAACUGUGCGACUGGAGUGCAGGAGGGGGAAGUGGAAUUCCGAGUGUAGCGGUGAAAUGCGUAGAUAUUGGGAGGAACACCAGUGGCGAAGGCGGCUUACUGGACUGUAACUGACGUUGAGGCUCGAAAGCGUGGGGAGCAAACAGGAUUAGAUACCCGGGUAGUC
rnacentral:rRNA from 1 species